rnacentral:tRNA from 2 species
GCGGAUAUGGUGGAAUUGGCAGACACGCCAGAUUUAGGUUCUGGUUCGCAAGAGUGCAGGUUCAAGUCCUGUUAUCCGCA